UACGUAGGUGGCAAGCGUUGUCCGGAUUUAUUGGGUUUAAAGGGCGCGUAGGCGGUUCGUACAGUCAGACGUGAAAUUCCUGGGCUCAACCUGGGGGCUGCGUUUGAUACGUGCGGACUUGAGUGCGGAAGAGGGUCGUGGAAUUCCCAGUGUAGAGGUGAAAUUCGUAGAUAUUGGGAAGAACACCGGUGGCGAAGGCGGCGACCUGGUCCGAUACUGACGCUGAGGCGCGAAAGCGCGGGGAGCAAACAGG
rnacentral:rRNA from 1 species